UACGUAGGGUGCAAGCAUUAAUCGGAUUUAUUGGGCGUAAAGGGCGUGUAGGCGGACAUAUAAGUCAGAUGUGAAAUCCCGGGGCUCAACCCCGGAACAGCAUUUGAAACUGUAUAUCUAGAGGGUAGACGGAGAAAACGGAAUUCCACAAGUAGCGGUGAAAUGCGUAGAUAUGUGGAAGAACACCAGUGGCGAAGGCGGUUUUCUAGUUUAUACCUGACGCUGAGGCGCGAAAGCAAGGGGAGCAAACAGG
rnacentral:rRNA from 1 species